rnacentral:rRNA from 1 species
AGUGAACGCUGGCGGUAGGCCUAACACAUGCAAGUCGAACGGCAGCACAGUAAGAGCUUGCUCUUACGGGUGGCGAGUGGCGGACGGGUGAGGAAUACAUCGGAAUCUACUUUUUCGUGGGGGAUAACGUAGGGAAACUUACGCUAAUACCGCAUACGACCUACGGGUUAAGGCAGGGGAUCUUCGGACCUUGCGCGAUUGAAUGAGCCGAUGUCGGAUUAGCUAGUUGGCGAGGUAAAGGCCCACCAAGGCGACGAUCCGUAGCUGGUCUGAGAGGAUGAUCAGCCACACUGGAACUGAGACACGGUCCAGACUCCUACGGGAGGCAGCAGUGGGGAAUAUUGGACAAUGGGCGCAAGCCUGAUCCAGCCAUACCGCGUGGGUGAAGAAGGCCUUCGGGUUGUAAAGCCCUUUUGUUGGGAAAGAAAAGCAGCAGGUUAAUACCCCGCUGUUCUGACGGUACCCAAAGAAUAAGCACCGGCUAACUUCGUG